rnacentral:tRNA from 1 species
GGCGACCGCGGCGUGCGGAGCACGGCGGGGUGCCGGACCCGGCGGGGGUGCCCGCACGGCGCCCUCCGGCUCGGCUUCCGGGGGCCGCCC